UACAGAGGAUGCAAGCGUUAUCCGGAAUGAUUGGGCGUAAAGCGUCUGUAGGUGGCUUUUUAAGUCCGCCGUCAAAUCCCAGGGCUCAACUCUGGACAGGCGGUGGAAACUACCAAGCUGGAGUACGGUAGGGGCAGAGGGAAUUCCUGGUGUAGCGGUGAAAUGCGCAGAUAUCAGGAGGAACACCGGUGGCGAAGGCGGGUCUCUGGGCAGUAACUGACGCUGAGGAGCGAAAGCGUGGGGAGCGAACAGG
rnacentral:rRNA from 1 species